GACAGAGGAUGCAAGCGUUAUCCGGAAUGAUUGGGCGUAAAGAGUUGCGUAGGUGGUUAAUAAAGUGAAUAGUGAAACCUGGUGGCUCAACCAUACAGACUAUUAUUCAAACUCAUUAACUCGAGAGUAGCAGAGGUAACUGGAAUUUCUAGUGUAGGAGUGAAAUCCGUAGAUAUUAGAAGGAACACCAAUGGCGUAGGCAGGUUACUGGGCUAUUUCUGACACUGAGGCACGAAAGCGUGGGGAGCGAACCGG
rnacentral:rRNA from 1 species